rnacentral:lncRNA from 1 species
CUGAAAGCAUGAAAUCUCAUAAAGGCACAAUAUAGCGCUAUCUCAAACAAUAAAAUUAAUUAUACAAUAAGACCAUAAAGUAUCAGGUAAUUCUCUUUUUAAAACAGUGAAAACAACAACUUCAACAAGUAAGGAGUAAUCAAAAGCUUGCCCCUCAGGUUCAAUAUCAAACUCUCAGUACAGUAUUAGCCCCACAGGCUCACAACCAACUCACUAGCACAUAACAUCAUCCCAUCGGGCUCACUCCCAACUCACCAAAUACAAACUCGGCCUCUCGAGCCCACUCCCAACUCACCUAGGUACCCUGCGCUUACUGGGGGUGUGUACAGACUCCGGAGGGGCUCCUACAACCCAAACACAAUAUCAAUAGGCCUGAAAGCCUUCACACAUCACACACGAGGCCUGAAAGUCUAUUUACAUAACACUCGAGGCCUGGGAGCCUCCUCACAUAACACUCGAGGCCUGAAAGCCUCCUCACAUCACUCAACAUAUCCUCACAGNNNNNNNNNNNNNNNNNNNNNNNNNNNNNNNNNNNNNNNNNNNNNNNNNNNNNNNNNNNNNNNNNNNNNNNNNNNNNNNNNNNNNNNNNNNNNNNNNNNNNNNNNNNNNNNNNNNNNNNNNNNNNNNNNNNNNNNNNNNNNNNNNNNNNNNNNNNNNNNNNUUGGUGCUCAGCUCAUCAAUAUUAUAAAUAUCAUCAAAACUCGAGUUGAGUAUAAAUGUUGCUUAGUUCACAAAAAAAUAUAAUUCCAUUGGACUGAUUUCAAAUAAUAUUUUAAUUGGUGAGGAAAAUGGUGAUGUAAUUCACAAAAUAUUUUAAAUAUUUGGCCCGAAGUCCAAGUAUGGCAAUAAGCCCAAAUCAUGGUAUAAAACAGUAAAUCUUUAUUAAAUACUCGUUAAAAUGUCAACCGGUAUGGACCACGUCACAAUCCCAAAUAGUAAGUGACCCUGCAUUCACCAUACAACGUGUGUCUCAUCUCAACAUACCAGUAUGUUGUGCAAUCUGGGCUUUCAAACGCUCAGUGCAUCAUUUAAAAUCAUUACUCACCUCAAGACGACGCAAUCUCUAGCCCGCGACGCCUUUCCUCCUCAAAUCAGCCUCUACGCGCGUUGAAUCUAUCCAAAACCACAUUGAAUAUAUUACAAUAUGAUAAGGGAACAAUACCCAAUCAAAAAUAAUCAAAUUCAGGCACAAUUCCCAAAAUUACUAAAACCUGAGCCCCGGGCCCACGUCUCGAAAUUUAAAUUUUUUUACAUCAAUAUGAUCCUUAUCUCGCCACGAGUCUAUACAUACCAAAUUCACAAAAAUCGGAGUUCAUUUGACCAUUCAAAUCGCCAUUUCUAUCCAAGAGGGUUUUCUACCUUUUUAACAAAAACUCUCAAAUUAAACACCAAAACUUGCAAUAGAUUGGAGUUAUACAACCAAAAAUGAGUUAAGAACACUUACCCAGUUGUUCUCUCAAAAAAUCCCUCAAAAAAUUGCCUUAUCCGAGCUCCAAAUCGUCAAAAAUGGAAAAUGGGAAAAAGUCCCAUUUUCAGAACUUAACAUUCUGCCCGGCACUGUUCACGUCACUGUUCACGGGCACUGUUCAUGGGUACUAUUUAUGGGUACUGUUCACGGGUACUGUUCACAGCAGAAUUUUUCUGCAAUUUCUGCAUAUUUUUCUAAGUUCGGAAUCCCUCCGAAACACUCCCGAGCCCUCGGGGCUCCAAACCAAAUAUGCACAUUAACUCUAAAACGUCACACAAACUUGCUCGAAUGAUCAAAUCUCAUAUAAUAUCGUGACAUCACAGUCAUUAACCAAAUUGCAACCUUCUCCAAACCAAAUAUGCACACUAACUCUAAAACAUCACACGAACUUGCUUGAGCGAUCAAAUCGCCAAAAUAACAUCAAAAUCAAUGAUUUGAGCAUUAAAUCCAAAAAAUUUCAAAUUUCACAUCCGAUGCCGAAACACGUCAAAACUAGUCUGAAUAACCUCAAAUUUUGCAGACAAGUCCAAAAUGAUAUAGCGAAUCUACAGAAACUCUCGAAAUUCCAUUCCAACCCUCGAAUCAAAAUUUCACCUAUCAACCGGAAUUCGCCAAAAUACUAACUUUGCCAAUUCAAUCUAAAUUCUACACCGGUCAUCACAAAAAUAUUAUGAACACUCUCCUAAGUCCCAAAUCACCUAACGAAGCUAUCCAAACCAUAAAUUUGUAUUUCGAGCCCUCUAACACAUAAGUCAAUAUCUGAUUGACUUUUCCAACUUAAGCUUCUUAAAAGAGACUAAGUGUCUCAAACGUUACCAAAAUCAUUCCAGAAUGACUUCAAAUUUUGUACACAAGUUACAUUCGACAUCAUGGGCAUGCCCCAACUUUCGGAAUCGCAUUCCGAUCACGAUAUCAAAAUUUCCACUUCGAGUCGAAUUUUCUCACAAGCCUUCAAAUUUCUAUAUUUAGCCAAAUGACUUCAAAAUGACCUACAAACCUCUGAAUUCACUUCCGAUCGCUCUCCCAAAUACAAAAUCACCAUACGGAGCUACUCCCAGUCUUAGAAUCCCAAACGGACAUUAAUAACACUGAAAUGCAUUUUAAGCCAAACUGGUGCAAUUUCUUCUAAAAUGAUAUAUUCCACAAUAGUCGCCAAAACGCUCCCGGGUUAUUCAAAACCCGAUCCGGGCAUACGUCCAAGUCCUAAAUCAUCAUAGGAACCUGCUGGAACCUUCCGAUCCCGAUUCCGAGGUCAUUUACUCAAAAUUCCAAUCCUAGUUCAUUCCUUCAACUUUAAGCUUUCAAAAUGAGAAUUUCCAUUUAGAUUUGACUCCAAACUUCCUAGAUUUUAAUUCUGACUAUACACACAAGUCAAUAUACCUGAGAUGAAGCUGCUCAUGGACUAAAACAUCUGAAUGACGCGCCGGAGCUCAAAACGACCGGUCGGGUUGUUAUAAUCUCCCCCACUUAAACAUAUGCUUGUCCUCGAACGUACUGAGAACUACAAUGAUGUAGUCUGAAAUAACUUGUUUAACACAUAAUUCACCUUCCCGUGCUACCACUACUCAGUUGAGCACAUUAGCUCGAUAAUUCUUUAUUCAAGCAAAUAAGCCAUUAGGCCAAAUUCCAACAUCCUGAAUUUCCUGCCAAGUUUGUUUCCAUCAUACGACCACUAUAUCAAUCUUCACACGUUGUACCUAAACAUUAAUGCAUAACUUUGUUGAAUUCAUACUUUGCAUCACUUUACUCAUAGGACCACAAUAACAUUCUUUAAACGUAAUAGUCGAAAUUCCACAAAUCUGAUGCUCCCAUUGCAUCUCAUGACCUACACAGGUCUUGCUCUAGGUUUUACAACAUCGAUCUGACUGAAGAGAUGUGCCAAAAUUCAUAACCAACUACUGAAUCAACAAUUCAUUGGAUCCAUACUCUUGACGAGUUCCAUUACCUUGUCCCAAACCAAAGAAUGAUCUUUGCUCUAUAAUAUACUUCAUAAUAUCAGUUUGCACUGACCCCAAAUCUAGUAACCUCGUCUCACCCCGUACGAACUGCUCAGGCAAUAAGCCACCUUAGACAUAAUCAAAAAUCCCACAAGACGCCAAAAUGUACCUGUAUGCUAUCAAUUCGAACGCGAUACAAAAGGAAGGCGAACUCUGGGAGGAAAUACUCAACUCGCACACUAACAUAGGCUUCCUCAGAAAACACAGAAACAGAACUGCCAGUAUGCUAUCAAUUCAAACGUGAUACAAAAGGAAGGAGAACUCUGGGAGGAAAUACUCAACUCGCACACUAACAUAUACUUCCUCAGAAAAUAGGGAAACAGAACACACAAAAGCAAAUAUGGGGGACUGUACUGAACAUCGUAUUGUUGCGGCGGGCAACCCGAUCCAAACAAGUCACCCAUGGAGGCAUGCCACUCGAUCCACAUAUAGAACUCACAUAAGGAGAUGCACGUCGAGCUGAAAAGCUCAUCACAUCAAAACACCGGAUAUCAGUCAUAAACACACUAUGGUGCAUAAUAUCAUUCCCAAAGAAACAUAUAGCUCUAUAGGUCACAAACUCAAGCACAACUGAGGGAGAUACAUGAUCUAAGUCUCAAGAGCCAUCCUACUCAUAUAAUAUCACCGCUGAGCAGAACCUCAACACAUAAGGAAUUUACCAAGCCGGCUCACAACUCAUACGGUGCAAUAUAUCUUUAAAUAAAUUAGCUGACCACGAAAUAAGACAGUGACUAUCCUUUCAUAAAGAGCACAAAGCUGAAAUAAACACAACUGGCCUGACGUAAGGCUCACUUCCACAUUUAAAUCUAUCCACGGACCUCAAGUCGAUCCUGAUCAUGCCAAGCUAGGCCAAUAAUAUUUCUCAGGUCCAUAACCCAAUAACCAGAGUGUCCUCCAAUCAUAAAUUCUCAAUUGGAUGAUAUUACCAAAAUCCUCAUACUUGGUUUAAAUUUCUAAUUAAUCAAGUGACUACAUGNNNNNNNNNNNNNNNNNNNNNNNNNNNNNNNNNNNNNNNNNNNNNNNNNNNNNNNNNNNGGCUACAUGUCACACUUAUACAAUAUUCCUGUGGGACAAGCUCCCACCAUCUUCCGAAAUAAUUAAUGGGUCUGCACAUUCAAACCACCGGUUGCACUAAAGCUGAAAAGCGAUCAAAAAUCUCUAACCAGGAUGCAAAACCUUUCUCACAGAACACCGAUCUCAGGUGAUACUGACAUCAAUACCCAUCUUACUCAACACACUAAAACUUAUAUCCCGCUCAUAUAAUUCGUAACAUCACAGUCAUUGACCAAACUGAAACCUUGGUCCUUACUUCAAAUUCCAUACCACUCACUGCACCUCACAUGCUAAUAUACGAUAGACGUGAUUUCCAUCGAAACUCCAGAAUAGCCGAUAGGCUAAUACUUCAUCACAUAAGACUUUCCAUUUAAUUCACUUCAGGAGAACUAUAGCAACAUACAGGCGAAUUCUCAUAAUCGUCAAAUAUGCCAAUCUCUAAGUAGUUGUCCAAGCCACCAUAACACUUUCUGGGAUCGGCCUACUCAUAAUAGUCCCUAACAAAAGAAUGCUUCAGAAUAAUAUCAAUCACUGCGGCUGACAAGCCUCAGAUGCACCGCCACAAUCACAUGUAUAACUCGACCACGCUGAACGAACUAAUCACUGACACCAAUAUGCCAACUCAACUAUGGCUAAUCAAUCUACUUCCUUCCAAUUUAUCCUUGAUUUCCUUAGAAAUUAUAAUAUCUCCCUUUAACACCUAACUUAUUUCAACCACACUCACCCCAAGUGAUCUUAAAUCAUGAGACUAUGUUGUCUCGAAUACCAUGACCAUUUCAUGUCUCUCAAAUGCUACACCGCAAGUCAAAACAUCAUAGAACAUUCUGUGCCUUUCUUCAUAAGGUGCUUCAAAAGCUUGCCUCUUAACCAUACUUACAGACUCAAAAUCAUUAGGCACCACAGUUUACCUCUUGAAUUAACUAGGACCACUAUUGAGAGCCAUCCAGCUCUAACUUGGCCUCGAAUGCAACCAACUCUACUGAAUUUUAUAACAUAUGAAUACCAUCUCGAUAAAGCACCCAACAGAAUCACUUCCCUCGAAGCAUGCACCAAUACGAGGCAUAAAUCAUGAAUCUUUUCUCAAGUAUGAACAUGAGCCAAUAAGGCUAACCAUAACAUGCAUCCAACAAUUCAUUUACUCAAAUUACCACUCAUGGUCUUUUUACGUAGAUGCAAUAACCCAUCAAUAUGCCAAUAACCAGAAUUCACACAGGUAACUAACCAUGCAACCCAAUCGUAAGUGGUGGGACUCCCCCCGCUUAGCUCAAAGCCACUAUUACACGACUCUCGAACACAUUAGAACCGUUAUCUCGAGUUAUUUACUCUUAUUCAAACUACAAUUCACCUGAUCCAAGGAACAUAACCACCCUGCCUCAUUAGCACUCUGACACUGCAGGAUAUGACCUCAUUCCAAUACAACCAAAUAUCUUCCUGCUCCAUGCACCGAGCAUUUUCUACCAACGACAGCUUAAGACAUACUGUGAUUCUCACACUUUUAUGAAGCACCAUGUACCCUUUGUCAAAGUUCUCCCUCACCCGUACCAUCUUCGGACCAAUUUUCGCAACCAGAGCUGAUUCGCCAGCAUGCCUCGAACUAGAACCAACAUAGCACAUGACCGUACAAUUAUUUAAUCAAUAGAAAACUCCCCAACUUGGCUCGAAGCCAUAGAUCACAACACAUAUAUUUCGUACAAUUAUCUAAUCAAUAGCAAACUCCCCAACUUGGCUCAAAGCCAUAGAUCACAACACAUAUACUUUAUUGUUGCCAUAAUACCAUGGUGAGAUUAAACUCACUCCUUCAUAAGCUUGUGGAAACACAAAUCAUCGGAAAUUUUAACUCUUCUGCAAUUUGUUUUGUCAAUCACUCACACAACAUUUAAGCCCACUAUUAAGGCGAUAAAAUUUUUACUAAGUCCCAAUUUUUUAAAAAAAAAAUCGGCAGAGUCUCCUUUGUAAUUAGGCCUAUCCACCUGCCAUAGAAUCACCUAAACCAUCCUAACAACAUAUCCACAACUUGACAAAGCAUCACAAUGUAUAUCAAACACUUAAUAGUUCACCUACAUCCAUCAUGUCUCUAUCUUCACUUCCAAGCCAUAUCGAUACAUCUCACAGCUGUAACAUACUCAUCACGUAGCUAUUCAUCUAUCAUUCUCACUUAUAGGGACAAUACCGAACAUAUACGUUUAAAGCACUUACUCACAUUAUCAUCACAUCGGUGCUCAAUCCACAUGCAAAGAUCCAGCCUAAAGUCCUCCUUACUGAACAUAUGAGUUCAAAGCACUUGCUCAUAAAAUAAGCACUUCGGUGCUCAAACCAUUGGCAAGGAUUCGGCCUCAAGUCCUCCAGACUGACCUAAUUCAACUCACAAAGAUUACACUUCGCCCCUCUAUCGGGGAAUCAAAAUCCAUCGAGGCACAUCUGGUACUGAGCGCCCGUUUGUGCACACGAUCACGCGGAAGGAAUUUCAAGAGUUUCCUUUCAAGCUGAAUCAAGGACACAUGAUAAGAAUUCAAGAAUAUGAAGUUUUUCCUAAAGUUUGUGUAGUCUCUUGCGGAUAAAUACAAACGUCUCUGUACCGAUCCGCGAGACUCUACUAAACUUGCUUAUGACUCGCGAGACCUAGUAACCUAGGCUCUGAUACCAACUUGUCACGACCCAAAAUCCCAAACUCGAUCGUGAUGGCGCCUCUCGUGAAGAAAAGGCCAGCCAAGUAACCCAAUUUCUCACAUUAACAAUUUUUAAACAUAAAUAAAUACAACUUAACACAAUAAUAACCAGUGUUUACAGCCCAACAUAUCCUGACCGGGGUGUCACAAGUCACGAGAAUCUAAGGAAUAUGAACACUACUAUAAAACCAGUAAUAUAUAUAGGAAAUUUAGAAUCAAAGGAAGAGAUACGGUGCCACAAACGCUGGCGGUCAUCUUGCUCAGCUACAAUAGAAAUACCUUCAAUCAGCUAAUACCCCGCUAGCGGGUGAUCAAUACCUGCCUCUCCAUACAAGGUGCAGGGAGUAAAGUGAGUACUCCAACUCAGUGAGUAAUAAAAAUAAAUAAUGAUUGAAAGCAUGAAAUCUCAUAAAGGCACAAAAUAGCGCUGUCUCAAGCAGUAAAAUCAAUUAUACAAUAAGGCCAUAAAGUAUCAAGUAAUUCUCUUUUUAAAAUAGUGAAAACAACAACUUCAACAAGUAAGGAGUAAUCAAAAGCUUGCCCCUCAGGCUUAAUAUCAAACUCUCAGUACAGUAUUAGCCCCACGGGCUCACUCCCAACUCACCAACACACAACAUCAGCCCCUCGGUCUCACUCCCAACUCACUAAACACAAACAUCGGCUUCUCGGACCCACUCCCAACUCACCUGGGUACCCUGCGCUCACUGGGGGUGUGUACAGACUCCGGAGGGGCUCCUACAUCCCAAGCGCAAUAUCAAUAGGCCUGAAAGCCUUCACACAUCACACACAAAGCCUGAAAGCCUUCUCACAUAGCACUCGAGGCCUGGGAGCCUCCUCACAUAACUCUCGAGGCCUGAAAGCCUCCUCACGUCACUCAACAUAUCCUCACAGAUGGCCCUUGUUCUCAAUCAGUCCAGAAAAUAAUCAUAAGCCUCUUG